rnacentral:lncRNA from 1 species
CACAAUACGUUUAUUGAUUUAUUUUCUCAUUUAAGAACGACAUUGUUGUCUUGGAAUAUAUAGUAUAAACUCUCUUAUCCAAUAAUAUUGUUUCACUCAUUGAAGCAAACUGUACAGUUGCAAUUGUGUCCAUCACAAUGAGCGUCCUUGGAAUAACCACCCCGUCCUUUCGCUAUGGAGCCGCAGGUCAACUUGCAAAGGAUUUUGGUGCAGAAGAUCAGUCCAUCCGAACCAUCCUGAAGGCAGCGCUCUGUGGCAUAAAAAUAACCACAACGUUACUGUGAAGGCUAUAUAUGUGCCUGUAAACAGGAGUAAAACUGUAGCAUGUGCAACAAAAUUUGCAUGCUUCUAUCUAAAUGAAACUAUUCAUCUCCUUUGUUCACAAAAAAACUAGUCAUCACAAAUUCAACAACAUUUACUUGAGACUUGCAAGGGUAACAACAGAACAAAGAACACACCUGCCGAAGUUGGAUUUCCGAGCAACAGAAGCAGCAAAACGAAACAAACACCCGUAGCAUGUGCAUCCAUUACGAACUGUCUCGCUAACAACAGUACCUCUUUUCUUGUUGUAAUCUCUCUUGUGCGUGGCUAGGAAACAACACCGUAUGUUC